rnacentral:lncRNA from 1 species
CUACGCAUUUAUUUGACAUACAUUUUGAAUAUUGAUUAUUCAACUAGAUAUUUUGUCCUAAGUGUUGUCACAUAUAAAUGAAUGUCAAACAAGCAUAAAUAAAUAAUUAGAUAUAAUAUUUAUCUAAAAUUCUACUAUACUUAUAUUUUGGGUACAUUCGAGAACGAAAAGUACGAAGUGGAUAGUUUGACCGGGAUUUAUGCUUCAUCUCCGAGUGUAGUCUUUCGAAAGCGACUCCGUGUAAUGGUACCUCGCAAGAAAAGAGAAGUAAAAUUGUUAGUGAAAUAAUAUGAAGUGAUUGUUUUUUGUUACUCCCUCCGUUCCAAUUUAUGUGAACCUAUUUGACAGGGCACAGAGUUUAAGAAAAAAUAAAGACUUUUAGAAUUUGUGGUCCUAAACAAUUCAAAAAGGGGGCCCAAAGUAUUUAUGUGGUUAUAAAAGCUUCUCAUUAAAGGUAAAAUUGUAAGUUUAAGUAAAAUUAUUUUCAAAUUUAGAAAGGGGUCAUUCUUUUUGGAACAGACCAAAAAGGAAAUAGGUUCACAUAAACUGGAAUGGAGGUAGUAAUAUUUUGGGAAGAUUGUUUUUGAAAAUAAUUUGUAAAUAUUUUUGGAAAAUUAUUUUUGAAAAAUAUUUUUAAAAAAUAUUAUAGGAGGCUCAGAUGUAUUUUUUGAUUCCGUCUAGACAUAAAAACGAGAACUGCCUUGAUUGCGACUACGGUGGCCAACCGUGUCGCCGUCCAAGGUAUAGGUUCGUCACAUUCUGAUCUUUUCCUUUCCGAUGUGUUUUAUCGUCAUCGCCUCGUUAUAUUUGGGCCCGGUCCGGAGGGUCAAUAGUAGCGACAUGGCCUCAAUAAUUCAGAGAUUGUUUUCAUCGGCAUGGGUUUAACAUUGCAUUUGUUCAAUAGCAAUUACCCUGUCAGUCAAAAGGAGCGGCCAACAACAUCGGAACAUAAGCAAUGGACCACAAAAGUGGGAAGAAAAUACCCAAAUAGAACCAACAAAAACAAUAGAAUCGUCUGCCGGUGAAGAUGAAGCUCGCCGGAAAAUCAACAAAGUAACCAAAGUCAGUUUUCAAGAACAAAUAAUGAUAAACCAUCACAAAAGUAACAUAAAUCAAACAAUGGAUCACCGGAGUUCGUCAAGUGAUGAAAGGGUGGUAACUAAACUAGGGUCGCCGGUGUUGAGUUGGGGGGUCGCCAUGGUGGUUCACUGGCGACUUCCAGCCAUGGCCAACAGAAGUAACAAACACCCAAAGAAGGGGCGCCGAAAAUACAUUUUCUGACCAGAUCUAGAAACUUUCGGCGAUGUUAUUGUUUUAGUAUUUCUUUAUCAUUUUUCGUAGAUCUGAGAUUCUAGACAAAGAACACUCAAAAGAGAAAAGGUAACUCGAUGUCGAACCAUAUUUCCGGCCAUAUCCUCAUAUUACGGCGGGUCAGUGGUGUUGCCAAGCUGUGUUCUUCUUAAAAACGAGAGAGAGACAGAGACAAGGUGAGGAUAAUGGUGAAGAUGAAGAAGUAUAGGGACGACGGUCGAUCGCUGGUGACCAACUCCGGCGAGGCAGUGAGAGAGAGUGUUUUUGGGACGGGAUGGCUGGUUGGAAAAAUGAGAUAGGGGAGAGUAUAUAAAUUAGGGUUUCAAAAUGCCAG